rnacentral:lncRNA from 1 species
AUAACAAGGGUUGCCACAGUUACCAUUGUUCUCUCAUAAAAUUCCAGAAUGAGAAAACCGUGGUUUGGGCUUCAUCUGCAAUAGCAACUUAAGCUCAGAAUAAGUGAAUGGGUUGUCAAGGUGGACAUUAGCAGUGAGAGACCAAGAGUCUGGACAACAGGGAUUCAGUGAUUGGGCUAGAAGACCCAGUCAUGAAGGUACUAGAAAGUGGGUCAAAGGAAGCACAACUCAGGUUCUAGAAGCCUUGGCAAUGGAGGUCAUAGUGUGAAAACUUCCAUUUGGAAAUCUGGGAGCAGUUCUUAAGUCAAAAAACAGACCUGGAAUCACAGUAUCCAUACAUACCAGUUGGAGGACAAAAGACA